rnacentral:sRNA from 1 species
UAUUUUUUUUUUUUUUUUUCCCUGAGACGGAGUCUCACUCUGUCGCCCAGGCUGGAGUGCAGUGGCACAAUCUCAGCUCUGCACCCUCUGCCUCCUGAGUUCAAGCAAUUCUCUUGCCUCAGCCUCCCGAGUAGCUGGGAUUAUAGGCGCCCGCCAACACGCCCAGCUAAUGUUUGUAUUGUUAGUAGAGAUGGGGUUUUCCCAUGUUGGCCAGGCUGGCCUCAAAUUCCUGACCUCAAGUGAUCGGCCUCCCGGAGUGCUGGGAUUACAGGCCUGAGCCACUGCGCCUGGCCUUGGAAUUGACUUUGACCGCACUUCCAGCGUUUCAGCACAUGAAAGCCUCUUUUUCCAAGACUGGCCCGCGGCAGCCCAGCCCACUGUUGGUGAGCAUGACCCGUGUUUGCUCUCCUCCAGGACUGCAUCAUCUGCAUGGAGAAGCUGUCCGCAACGUCUGGAUACAGUGAUGUGACUGACAGCAAGGCAGUCGGGCCCCUGGCUGUGGGUCGCCUCACCAAGUGCAGCCACACCUUCCACCUGCUGUGCCUGCUGGCCAUGUACUGCAAUGGCAACAAGGAUGGAAGUCUGCAGUGUCCUUCCUGCAAAACCAUCUAUGGAGAGAAGACGGGGACCCAGCCCCAAGGAAAGAUGGAGGUAUUACGGUUCCAGAUGUCGCUCCCCGGCCACGAGGACUGCGGGACCAUCCUCAUAGUUUACAACAUUCCCCAUGGCAUCCAGGGCCCUGAGCACCCCAAUCCCGGAAAGCCGUUCACUGCCAGAGGGUUUCCCCGCCAGUGCUACCUUCCAGACAACGCCCAGGGCCGUAAGGUCCUAGAGCUCCUGAAGGUGGCCUGGAAGAGGCGGCUCAUCUUCACAGUGGGCACGUCCAGCACCACGGGGGAGACGGACACCGUGGUGUGGAACGAGAUCCACCACAAGACAGAGAUGGACCGCAACGUUACGGGCCACGGCUAUCCUGACCCCAACUACCUGCAGAACGUGCUGGCUGAGCUGGCUGCCCAGGGGGUGACCGAGGACUGCCUGGAGCAACAGUGACCUUGCACCCCAGCACACCUGCCUCUGGUGGCCACCCCGCUGCCCCAUGGCUGGCUGGGUGGCCAGGCAGGAAGUGCCCAGCUCAAGAGGCUGGGAGGUUUGUUGAGGGUGGGGGGUGUGCCCCACCUGAAGCCGGGGCUCCCCCUGCCUCCCUCUCUCUCCUCCCCUCCGGGAAUUGGGCAGCCCUGGGCAGUUGUACUCAUGGGGGCUUAAGAUGCAGCUACCUCAGUGCGCAGGGCCCGUCUGUCCUCUGGGGGCUGCUUCGGGCCCGUGGUGCUCGGGGCCUGGCGUGGGGUGACUAGAGACUUCCCCAGCCUGGACGGGCAUGGGUUCUGGGUCAGCUUCUUUUACCUCAAUUUUGUUUGCAAUAAAUGCUCUAUGGCCAAA